rnacentral:rRNA from 1 species
GAUGAACGCUAGCUGGAGGCUUAAUACAUGCAAGUCGAGCGGGAUUGGUAGCAAUACCAUGAGAGCGGCGCACGGGUGAGUAACGCGUACACGACCUACCUCUGACAGGGGGAUAGCCCUGGGAAACUGGGAUUAAUACCGCAUAUUAUUCUGAUUAAUAAAGGAUUGGAAUGAAAGUUAAGGCGGUCAGAGAUGGGUGUGCGUCUGAUUAGCUAGUUGGUGGGGUAACGGCCUACCAAGGCGAGGAUCAGAAGGGGGCGUGAGAGCGUGGUCCCCCACACGGGUGCUGAGACACGGACCCGACUCCUACGGGAGGCAGCAGUAAUGAAUAUUGGACAAUGGCCGCAAGGCUGAUCCAGCCAUCCAGCGUGCAGGAAGAAGGCCCUAUGGGUUGUAAACUGCUUUUAUCAGGGAAGAAACCUCUGGAUUUACUCCGGAGCUGACGGUAUCUGAGGAAUAAGCAUCGGCUAACUCUGUGCCAGCCGCCGCGGUAAUAC